GAUGCUCUGGUUGUGAAAUUCCGGAGAAGCCAGACCCACGUGACGCAUUUGUCCAAUCCGCUGCCGGUUGUCAUUUUUUUGGGCAACAAUACAGAUUAGCUUUGCCUGCUGUUAUGGAGACUAGUAUUAUUCCUUGCGCACAUGCAGAACUUAUGCUCAAGUCGGCGUCGCUUUGGUGCGUUCUGAGGGACUUUUUUGACCACCUCGAGGAGCCUGGUCAGUCUGACUGCCUUUUCUACCAACGGUCGGCAGUCGGGUUGGUGUGUCAGAGGCUUUACAGCCUUUAUUGACAAGACAGCUGAAG